UUCUAUGAACUGGUAUGGCCUUGAAAUAACAGUUAUUUGUAAACUGUUUUUGUUGAUUUCAAAUCAAUAUGCUGAGAAUUACUUUUAUAAAGCCUAGCUUUCUAGAAAGCUUUCAUGUUGAAAUCUUCUGAAACUUAAAGAAUAUAACAUCUUAUGAAGAAAAUCUCACAACAAAUGAACAAAUAAAGGAUUGUUGGAAUCAAAUGAACUAGAAAAGCUGGAAAAAAGUUUGGAAAAAAUCAGUUAACUAUGCGUAUUGCAGCACUAUUUACAGUUGGGAAGAUUUAUUGACUAUUCCAUGUUUCCAUAGCCUGAAGUUCUGCUUCAAAUAUAAUUUAAUAGUUUAACUCUACUAAGAAAGAUAAAAUGAUAGUGAGACAUGUUUUGCCUAAAAAAUUAACAAGAAAUGAAAACUUGUGAAUACUGAAUGCUGGCGAGAACUCAGGAAUAUAGAUAUUCCCAUGUGUUUCCUAUUAAAAUGUAGU